AUACUUUUGUGGUUCACAAGCAUGAUGAUUGGGUGUUCAAACUUUUGCAUGACAUGCGCCUCCCUCAAACCUUGUUACGAUGUUGGCACAUUACCCAUCUGACU